CCUACGGGUGGCAGCAGUGAGGAAUAUUGGUCAAUGGACGAGAGUCUGAACCAGCCAAGUAGCGUGAAGGAUGACUGCCCUAUGGGUUGUAAACUUCUUUUAUAAAGGAAUAAAACGAGGCACGUGUGCCUUUUUGCAUGUACUUUAUGAAUAAGGAUCGGCUAACUCCGUGCCAGCAGCCGCGGUAAUACGGAGGAUCCGAGCGUUAUCCGGAUUUAUUGGGGUGAAAGGGAGCGUAGAGGGGUUGUUAAGUCAGUUGUGAAAGUUUGCGGCUCAACCGUAAAAUUGCAAUUGAUACUGGCAGUCUUGCGUACAGUUGAGGUAGGCGGACUUCGUGGUGUAGCGGUGACAUGCUUAGAUCUCAC
rnacentral:rRNA from 1 species